UACAAUCGAAAGCUUCCAUGAAAAUAGAGCUAGGGUUUGGCCGAGCUUUAGAAUCCAAUCGGUAAGUGAUUUUCGUCCCAUUUUUAAUAAUUUUUAUGUUCUUGACAUCAUUGCAACUAGAUCCAGCUAGCCUGUACCUUCGAUUUUGAAACUAUUAAAGAUUUUGAAAGUUGCUAUUGAUGAACCUUGUGAUUUUUAUAUUAAAUGAUGAAUUUAAGAUAUUAAUUUUUAUUUAAAAGUAUUUUAUAAAGUGAAUUUUUUUGAUGAAUUUUUUGGUUAGAGACUAAAUUAUUGAAAUAGUAUAAAUACAAGGGUUUGUUGUGAAAUUAUUGCAAAAAUGGGCUGUAUUGAAUGCCAUUAAUAUUCAGCUAGCUUGGAUUUGUAUUAAAAGUGGUUAAUUUGCAUGUUUUGGGUUCAGGGACUAAAUUGAAUAAAAGUAAAAUUUUAAGGGUAAUUUCAUAAAAAUGUCAAAAUGACUAGAUUACAUGAAAUGAAUUUUUUAUUGUCUAAAUUAAUAUAUUGAAUGAAAUUAUUAAUUUAGAUCAAGAUCGGGUGGAAAAUCGAGAAAAAUGAAAAAUUACCAAAAUACCCCUGAAUCUUGGUAUUUCUGCAAUUUAUCCAGGUAAGUUUGUACGGUUAAAAAUUAAUAUUUGUAUUAAUUUGAUGAAUGAUAUUAUGCUGUUAUUUUAUUGUUAAAAAUGAAUUAUUGUUGGAAUUAUAAUAUUGAAUUGAAUAUUGAGGUUGAAUGGAAUGCGAGAUUUGAGUAUAUUUGUUAUUUGGCGUAUAACGCUAUUGAAAGAAGAUAUCAAAAAAUUACUAAAGCAAACCGGGGUUCAGCAUUUGUUGCGAACUCUCGUGUUUUACUUUUUGUUUAGCUCUUUCGAGCUUCUGUUCAGCUCUUAAGAGCUUAUGUUCAACUCUUAUGAGCUUCUGUUCAACUUUUGAGCUUCUAUUGGCGUAUUUAGAAGGCCUAGCUUGUAUGAGAUUCUGUUAAUGAUGUACUCUUAUCCGGAAUUCGUUCUUCGAUUUGGGAAAGCCUUGGUAAAGUGAUUUAUUUAAUGAAUUUGAAAGUUAUCCAACGAUAUUAUAAAUGGUUCAACUGGCAAUAUUUUGUUACGAGACGAUAUGAGUUUGAUACGAACUAAUACAGGUAUAUACAUGAAAUAAAUGGAAAUGAUGGCACAUGAUAUAUUGAUAUAUUGAUAUAUUGAAAUGGAUGAUAUAUGUAUAUGAAGAAAUGGUAAGAGAAUGAUAUGUAUCAUGACAUGAACAUAUACGAAUAUCUUUGAUAUGUUGAUACAUGGAAAUUAUGUAAGUUGAGACAAGUAAUAAACUCAAGUGUGACAUGUUGAGAUAAUAAGGUUAUCAAUGAUGAAUUUAUAUGAAAUAUGUUCAAGUAUGCUAACAAGUGUUGUUGUUUGAUGCUUAGGCAAAUGUCAAGCUGUUGGUUGAAUGGUAAUAUGUUUAAUUAUAAGUUGUAUUGAAAUGGUAAGUGUUCAAAUGAAAAUAUGCUUGAGCUCAUGAAAGAGUGGUAAGGUUUAAAGUUAUUUAAAAUCCUACUAUGCUAGGAAUGAUAUGUAUAAGUGAUGCUGUGGAUUUAUUCACCUUGUGAGUUGUUGAAUAUAGCUUCAUGAAUCUUGCGGUAUCGAUAUUGGAUUAUUCUUGAUAUGAAUAAAUUUCAUAUUUGAAAUGAAUUGAUAUGAUUGAAGUUUAUACGAGCUUAGUAAGCAUUCAUUGCUUACGUAUUUGUUUUUCUUUACUUUUUAGAUUAUCAAAAGCUCGAUUGGGUUGAAAGCUUGUCGGAGUUAUAUCACACUAUCCAUCAGUUUUAUCAGUUCUUUUGGAUGUUUUUAUUUUGGUUAUAA
rnacentral:lncRNA from 1 species